rnacentral:tRNA from 1 species
GCGCCUAUGAUGUAAGGCCUAGCAGCGCUGCCCGGAAAGCAGGAGGCACGGGUUCGAGUCCCGCUUGAUGCA